UACGUAGGGUGCAAGCGUUAAUCGGAAUUACUGGGCGUAAAGCGUGCGCAGGCGGUUUUGUAAGUCUGUCGUGAAAUCCCCGGGCUCAACCUGGGAAUUGCAUUCGAGACUGCGUGGCUAGGGUGCGGAAGAGGGAAGCGGAAUUUCCGGUGUAGCGGUGAAAUGCGUAGAUAUCGGAAGGAACACCAGUGGCGAAAGCGGCUUCCUGGUCCAGCACCGACGUCAGGCACGAAAGCGUGGGGAGCAAACAGG
rnacentral:rRNA from 1 species